rnacentral:rRNA from 1 species
AUUGAACGCUGGCGGCAUGCCUUACACAUGCAAGUCGAACGGCAGCACGGGUGCUUGCACCUGGUGGCGAGUGGCGAACGGGUGAGUAAUACAUCGGAACAUGUCCUGUAGUGGGGGAUAGCCCGGCGAAAGCCGGAUUAAUACCGCAUACGAUCUACGGAUGACAGCGGGGGACCUUCGGGCCUCGCGCUAUCGGGUUGGCCGAUGGCUGAUUAGCUAGUUGGUGGGGUAAAGGCCUACCAAGGCGACGAUCAGUAGCUGGUCUGAGAGGACGACCAGCCACACUGGGACUGAGACACGGCCCAGACUCCUACGGGAGGCAGCAGUGGGGAAUUUUGGACAAAGGGCGAAAGCCUGAUCCAGCAAUGCCGCGUGUGUGAAGAAGGCCUUCGGGUUGUAAAGCACUUUUGUCCGGAAAGAAAUCCUUGGCCCUAAUACGGUCGGGGGAUGACGGUACCGGAAGAAUAAGCACCGGCUAACUACGUG